AUUGAACGCUGGCGGCAGGCCUAACACAUGCAAGUCGAGCGAGCGGCGGACGGGUGAGUAAUGUAUGGGGACUGCCCGAUAGAGGGGGAUAACUACUGGAACCGGUAGCUAAUACCGCAUACUAUCGGAUAACCCAUAUGGGAUUAGCUAGUAGGUGAGGUAAUGGCUCACCUAGGCGACGAUCCCUCGCUGGUCUGAGAGGAUGAUCAGCCACAGUGGGACUGAGACACGGCCAAGACUCCUACGGAGGAAGAAGUGGGGAUUAUUGCAAAAUGGGGGAAAGCCUGAUGAAGCCAUGCGGCGUGUAUGAAGAAGGCCCUAGGGUUGUAAAGUACUUUCAGUCGGGAGGCGUUACCGACAGAAGAAGCACCGGCUAACUCCGUGCCAGCAGCCGCGGUAAUUC
rnacentral:rRNA from 1 species